rnacentral:rRNA from 1 species
CUUUAUUGGAGAGUUUGAUCCUGGCUCAGGACGAACGCUGGCGGCGUGCCUAAUACAUGCAAGUCGAGCGAAUUGAUGGGAGCUUGCUCCCUGAGAUUAGCGGCGGACGGGUGAGUAACACGUGGGUAACCUGCCUGUAAGAUUGGGAUAACUCCGGGAAACCGGAGCUAAUACCGGAUAAUAUUUUGAACCGCAUGGUUCAAAAUUGAAAGAUGGUUUCGGCUAUCACUUACAGAUGGACCCGCGGCGCAUUAGCUAGUUGGUGAGGUAACGGCUC